ensembl:misc_RNA Metazoa_SRP Metazoan signal recognition particle RNA
GCUGGGCACCGUGGUGGGUGCCUGUAAUCCCAGCUACUCGGGAGGCUGAGGCAGGAGAAUCGCUUGAACCCGGGAAGCGGGGGUUGCAGUGAGCCGAGAUUGUGCCACUGCACUUCAGCCUGGGCGACAGAGCAAGACUCUGCCUCAA